rnacentral:rRNA from 1 species
GGGUUGUGAGGUUAAGCGACUAAGCGUACACGGUGGAUGCCCUGGCAGUCAGAGGCGAUGAAGGACGUGCUAAUCUGCGAAAAGCGUCGGUAAGGUGAUAUGAACCGUUAUAGCCGGCGAUGUCCGAAUGGGGAAACCCAGUGUGAUUCGUCACACUAUCGUUAACUGAAUACAUAGGUUAACGAGGCGAACCGGGGGAACUGAAACAUCUAAGUACCCCGAGGAAAAGAAAUCAACCGAGAUUCCCCCAGUAGCGGCGAGCGAACGGGGAGCAGCCCAGAGUCUGAAUCAGCUUGUGUGUUAGUGGAACGGUCUGGAAAGUCCGACGGUACAGGGUGAUAGUCCCGUACACCAAAAUGCACAGGCUGUGAACUCGAAGAGUAGGGCGGGACACGUGGUAUCCUGUCUGAAUAUGGGGGGACCAUCCUCCAAGGCUAAAUACUCCUGACUGACCGAUAGUGAACCAGUACCGUGAGGGAAAGGCGAAAAGAACCCCGGCGAGGGGAGUGAAAAAGAACCUGAAACCGUGUACGUACAAGCAGUGGGAGCACCUUCGGGUGUGACUGCGUACCUUUUGUAUAAUGGGUCAGCGACUUAUAUUCUGUAGCAAGGUUAACCGUAUAGGGGAGCCGCAGGGAAACCGAGUCUUAACUGGGCGUUAAGUUGCAGGGUAUAGACCCGAAACCCGGUGAUCUAGCCAUGGGCAGGUUGAAGGUUGGGUAACACUAACUGGAGGACCGAACCGACUAAUGUUGAAAAAUUAGCGGAUGACUUGUGGCUGGGGGUGAAAGGCCAAUCAAACCGGGAGAUAGCUGGUUCUCCCCGAAAGCUAUUUAGGUAGCGCCUCGUGAACUCAUCUUCGGGGGUAGAGCACUGUUUCGGCUAGGGGGUCAUCCCGACUUACCAACCCGAUGCAAACUACGAAUACCGAAGAAUGUUAUCACGGGAGACACACGGCGGGUGCUAACGUCCGUCGUGAAGAGGGAAACAACCCAGACCGCCAGCUAAGGUCCCAAAGUCAUGGUUAAGUGGGAAACGAUGUGGGAAGGCACAGACAGCCAGGAUGUUGGCUUAGAAGCAGCCAUCAUUUAAAGAAAGCGUAAUAGCUCACUGGUCGAGUCGGCCUGCGCGGAAGAUGUAACGGGGCUAAACCAUGCACCGAAGCUGCGGCAGCGACACUAUGUGUUGUUGGGUAGGGGAGCGUUCUGUAAGCCUGCGAAGGUGGCCUGUGAGGGUUGCUGGAGGUAUCAGAAGUGCGAAUGCUGACAUAAGUAACGAUAAAGCGGGUGAAAAGCCCGCUCGCCGGAAGACCAAGGGUUCCUGUCCAACGUUAAUCGGGGCAGGGUGAGUCGACCCCUAAGGCGAGGCCGAAAGGCGUAGUCGAUGGGAAACAGGUUAAUAUUCCUGUACUUGGUGUUACUGCGAAGGGGGGACGGAGAAGGCUAUGUUAGCCGGGCGACGGUUGUCCCGGUUUAAGCAUGUAGGCUGAUUAUCCAGGCAAAUCCGGAUAAUCAAGGCUGAGGUGUGAUGACGAGGCACUACGGUGCUGAAGUAACAAAUGCCCUGCUUCCAGGAAAAGCCUCUAAGCAUCAGGUAACAUCAAAUCGUACCCCAAACCGACACAGGUGGUCAGGUAGAGAAUACCAAGGCGCUUGAGAGAACUCGGGUGAAGGAACUAGGCAAAAUGGUGCCGUAACUUCGGGAGAAGGCACGCUGGUGUGUAGGUGAAGUCCCUGCGGAUGGAGCUGAGACCAGUCGAAGAUACCAGCUGGCUGCAACUGUUUAUUAAAAACACAGCACUGUGCAAACACGAAAGUGGACGUAUACGGUGUGACGCCUGCCCGGUGCCGGAAGGUUAAUUGAUGGGGUUAUCCGUAAGGAGAAGCUCUUGAUCGAAGCCCCGGUAAACGGCGGCCGUAACUAUAACGGUCCUAAGGUAGCGAAAUUCCUUGUCGGGUAAGUUCCGACCUGCACGAAUGGCGUAAUGAUGGCCAGGCUGUCUCCACCCGAGACUCAGUGAAAUUGAACUCGCUGUGAAGAUGCAGUGUACCCGCGGCAAGACGGAAAGACCCCGUGAACCUUUACUAUAGCUUGACACUGAACAUUGAGCCUUGAUGUGUAGGAUAGGUGGGAGGCUUUGAAGCGUGGACGCCAGUCUGCGUGGAGCCAACCUUGAAAUACCACCCUUUAAUGUUUGAUGUUCUAACGUUGGCCCCUUAUCGGGGUUGCGGACAGUGUCUGGUGGGUAGUUUGACUGGGGCGGUCUCCUCCCAAAGCGUAACGGAGGAGCACGAAGGUUAGCUAAUCCUGGUCGGACAUCAGGAGGUUAGUGCAAUGGCAUAAGCUAGCUUGACUGCGAGCGUGACGGCGCGAGCAGGUGCGAAAGCAGGUCAUAGUGAUCCGGUGGUUCUGAAUGGAAGGGCCAUCGCUCAACGGAUAAAAGGUACUCCGGGGAUAACAGGCUGAUACCGCCCAAGAGUUCAUAUCGACGGCGGUGUUUGGCACCUCGAUGUCGGCUCAUCACAUCCUGGGGCUGAAGUAGGUCCCAAGGGUAUGGCUGUUCGCCAUUUAAAGUGGUACGCGAGCUGGGUUUAGAACGUCGUGAGACAGUUCGGUCCCUAUCUGCCGUGGGCGCUGGAGAAUUGAGGGGGGCUGCUCCUAGUACGAGAGGACCGGAGUGGACGCAUCACUGGUGUUCGGGUUGUCAUGCCAAUGGCACUGCCCGGUAGCUAAAUGCGGAAGAGAUAAGUGCUGAAAGCAUCUAAGCACGAAACUUGCCCCGAGAUGAGUUCUCCCUGAGACUUUAAGUCUCCUGAAGGAACGUUGAAGACGACGACGUUGAUAGGCCGGGUGUGUAAGCGCAGCGAUGCGUUGAGCUAACCGGUACUAAUGAACCGUGAGGCUUAACCUUACAACGCCGAAG